GCCAGGUAUGGUGGCACAUGCCUGUAAUCCCAUUGGUUUAGGAGGCUGAGACAGGAGGAUUGCAAGUUCAAAACCAACCUCAGUCAGCAAUGGUGAGGUGCUAAGCAACUCAGUGAGACUCUGUCUCUA
rnacentral:sRNA from 1 species